rnacentral:rRNA from 1 species
CCUACGGGGCGCAGCAGUGGGGAAUAUUGCGCAAUGGGGGCAACCCUGACGCAGCAACGCCGCGUGAUUGAAGACGGCCUUCGGGUUGUAAAGAUCUUUAAUCGGGGACGAAUUUUGACGGUACCCGAAGAAUAAGCUCCGGCUAACUACGUGCCAGCAGCCGCGGUAAUACGUAGGGGGCAAGCGUUAUCCGGAAUUAUUGGGCGUAAAGAGUACGUAGGCGGUUCUUUAAG